AACCAUAGAAACCUGCGGAGUACCUGCGGAGGGAUCAUUAUAGUAUAUGGAAUCUCCAUUCUAUAAACCCACUCUGCGCAUCUUGUAACUGUUGCUUCCAUGGGACUUGGUUCCGCCACACCGGCUUCACGGCUGGUGAGCGCCCAUGGAAGGAGAAACAAAACUCUUCUUUGAAAUGUAGUCAGUCUGAACAAGUUUUUAUAAACGUUAAAACUUUUAGCAACGGAUCUCAGAUCGGAA
rnacentral:misc_RNA from 1 species